AUUGAACGCUGGCGGCAUGCCUUACACAUGCAAGUCGAACGGCAGCGGGCCUUCGGGUGCCGGCGAGUGGCGAACGGGUGAGUAAUGCAUCGGAACGUGCCAUUGAGUGGGGGAUAACGUAGCGAAAGUUACGCUAAUACCGCAUAAGCCCUGAGGGGGAAAGUGGGGGACCGCAAGGCCUCACGCGAAUGGAGCGGCCGAUGUCAGAUUAGCUAGUUGGUGGGGUAAAGGCCCACCAAGGCGACGAUCUGUAGCGGGUCUGAGAGGAUGAUCCGCCACACUGGAACUGAGACACGGUCCAGACUCCUACGGGAGGCAGCAGUGGGGAAUUUUGGACAAUGGGCGCAAGCCUGAUCCAGCCAUGCCGCGUGAGUGAAGAAGGCCUCGGUGUAAG
rnacentral:rRNA from 1 species